UACAGAGGGUGCAAGCGUUGUUCGGAAUUAUUGGGCGUAAAGGGCGCGUAGGCGGCCUGGCAAGUGGAAGGUGAAAUCCCUCGGCUUAACCGAGGAACUGCCUUCCAAACUGCUUGGCUUGAGUCCGGGAGAGGUGAGUGGAAUUCCCAGUGUAGCGGUGAAAUGCGUAGAGAUGCGGAGGAACACCGAUGGCGAAGGCAGCCCCCUGGGCUAACACUGACGCUCAGGCACGAAAGCGUGGGGAGCAAACAGG
rnacentral:rRNA from 1 species